rnacentral:rRNA from 1 species
UACGGAGGGUGCAAGCGUUAUCCGGAUUCACUGGGUUUAAAGGGUGCGUAGGUGGGCAAGUAAGUCAGUGGUGAAAUCUCCGGGCUUAACCCGGAAACUGCCAUUGAUACUAUUUGUCUUGAAUACUGUGGAGGUCAGCGGAAUAUGUCAUGUAGCGGUGAAAUGCUUAGAUAUGACAUAGAACACCAAUUGCGAAGGCAGCUGGCUACACAAAUAUUGACACUGAGGCACGAAAACGUGGGGAUCAAACAGG